rnacentral:lncRNA from 1 species
CCGGAAACCAAUCAGAGCUGUGAUUAUAAAAAGAUAAAAGAUCUGAAGAUCUGACCUUCUUGUUGGCAGAGCAGCCUGGCGCGUUGAAAUGCAGACCAGCCUAUCUAUGCCUUUGUCACAGGGGCUGCGGAAGCUUCCUUCGUUUGUGCGCGGUGAUGGUUUGGGUGGGAGAGGAAGGCAUGGGAGCCAUAAGCACAACAGAAGGGUCGCACAACACACAAGCUGACACCCGGGGACACUCCCGCCCGCCCGCCCACCACCCGUGUGCAUCUGGUGAAGGCAACAGCUCGAUCUGCCAGUCCUCAACAAAACCAGAAGUGUCCCCACCCCACGCUGAAAACAUCGUGGGAGACCUUGGCAGUGACCCAAGACUAAGACUCGUAGCAACCACUAAAUUAUAAUAUCGAUGAUGAGCAUCAGUAAUUGAACAGGCCUGGGCUGGGCACUAUCCUUUAUUAUCACCGCUAGGAAGAUGAGGAAGAUGGUAAUGAAGCUGCCAUGCCUCUCUCUCAGACGAAGACACAAAAGCACAGACACUAAGUGACACACGCCAUGCCAUGCCACUGCGGAAUGACUGAAGACAUGGUCUUGGGUCACGCUGUACCGUGCCAGCCUGCUACCCAUCCCCUGACUUUGUUUAGAAAAGCAUUCUUUUCUGUAGGCGAAAAUCAACGGGAUCUAAAGCAGCUGGCAUAGUGUGCCCACUAGGCUGGGAUCAGACUCUCCCAUCUAUGUUUCAGGAGGCCAGGGGCUCUGAAGCUCCAGGCCUGCAACUACACCCCCCACACCAACCCACAAGACAGUGUGUAAAAGGCAGAGUGAGUGGGUCUGGUGCCAAGAAGCCAGAGCCAGUUUAUUUCCAUCCCAGUGUUAAG